rnacentral:lncRNA from 1 species
CUCUGAUCCUAUUUUAGUGAAUCUGCUUUUACGAUUAAACCAUCACUGUAAUUGGCACUGGAAGAGCAUUGGCAGUCUGCUGUGGUCGCCUUCCCUGCAAAGAACGUUUGUGAUGCUCAUCUCUGAAUGAUGCAUAGUGUCUGCCUGUAUUCAGAUUUAAAAAGAAUUUAAAAAAAGAAUGCAUGAACAGCAGGUAGACUGGUCAGCAGUGAUUCAGUCCCUGGCAGCCAUGAUGAGAGCACCACAAGCUCAACUCAGCCCUGCUGGAGGUGGAUAUUUCUCCAUUUCCUUUCAUGGCAUUGCACCUACGUUACACCAGCGAGAACGAACCCUUCCACAGCAAUACCAACCUCGGGGGUCCCCAAGCACUUCUGCACCUGCCUCGGAAGGACAGACAGACUCUCCCAGCUGCCCACAGGUGGAAGCAGGCUGCGAGCCCUCCAUGCUGACAUGUAGCAAGCCACCCAUAUGGAAUUUCAGCAAGUGGCAACCACGCUCAGCCUGAGUGCCUCAGAUCAGCCCAAAACAAGCCUCAGGUCAGCAGCUUCAGGACUCAGUUUUUUGCGCGGGGUCAUUUUGUUCCUUGUACUCCUUCCCACUCCCUCUUGGCUGUAUUGCAUUGCCUAUCAUGUUAAAUAAAUUAAAAAAAAAAAAAGUGGGGAGGAAUUCC